UACGGAGGGUCCAAGCGUUAUCCGGAUUUAUUGGGUUUAAAGGGUGCGUAGGCGGCCUAUUAAGUCAGGGGUGAAAGACGGUAGCUUAACUAUCGCAGUGCCUUUGAUACUGAUGGGCUUGAAUACACUAGAGGUAGGCGGAAUGUGACAAGUAGCGGUGAAAUGCAUAGAUAUGUCACAGAACACCAAUUGCGAAGGCAGCUUACUAUGGUGCAAUUGACGCUGAGGCACGAAAGCGUGGGGAUCAAACAGG
rnacentral:rRNA from 1 species